ACAUCCCAAAAGGUAUACUGCAAUAUUAAAGUUCAUUUAUAUACACGAUAAAGUUUCCCCUGUGUGUCCUGCAGGCUGGGAAGUGUCCAUGGGUUGAUCCCUUUGUGAAUUACAUGGAGCUGACCGGGCUGAAACCCUCAGUGACCCAGAUGAGGAUUGAAGCUUGUGCUGAAAGAGUGGCUGCCCCCCCAAACAUGACAAGGCCUGAGAUGUCAUAAGGACUCUAUAUGCCUCAGCAGUUUGGACUACACCACCAGAGUGCACAGCCAUUCCACAUUCAUUUCUCUUGCAUCUCCAGCACCAUGAAACUGAUAAACCCCAGCUGCUGGUCACUGCACACCCACCCUCCUGUGAGUCGGAGUUUGCAGAGC
rnacentral:lncRNA from 1 species